rnacentral:rRNA from 1 species
CCUACGGGCGGUUGCAGUGGGGAAUAUUGGACAAUGGGGGCAACCCUGAUCCAGCCAUGCCGCGUGUGUGAAGAAGGCCCUCGGGUUGUAAAGCACUUUCAGUGAGGAAGAACGCCUGGUGGUUAAUACCCAUCAGGAAAGACAUCACUCACAGAAGAAGCACCGGCUAACUCCGUGCCAGCAGCCGCGGUAAUACGGAGGGUGCGAGCGUUAAUCGGAAUUACUGGGCGUAAAGCGCGCGUAGGUGGCUUGAUAAGCCGGUUGUGAAAGCCCCGGGCUCAACCUGGGAACGGCAUCCGGAACUGUCAAGCUAGAGUGCAGGAGAGGAAGGUAGAAUUCCCGGUGUAGCGGUGAAAUGCGUAGAGAUCGGGAGGAAUACCAGUGGCGAAGGCGGCCUUCUGGACUGACACUGACACUGAGGUGCGAAAGCGUGGGUAGCAAACAGGAUUAGAUACCCCAGUAGUC